rnacentral:rRNA from 1 species
CACGGAAGGGGCAAGCGUUACUCGUAAGUAUUGGGCGUAAGGCGUCUGUAGGUGGUUCUUUUCCGAACUAGUUUGUACCCGAAUCCCUCCUCGUCAGGGUGAGUGGAUCACCGGGUUAAGUAACGGGGUAGCCCAGAGGUGCAAGGUACCCUUGAUGGAGGGGUGGAAUCCAAAAAGAUCAAUGGGGACCCCCAACGGCGAAGGCAUUGUCACCCGGGGCCUCUAACACUGAGAGACGAAAGCGUGGGGAGCAAACAGG